AGGAAAUCCGGUUGAUCCUGCCGGAGGCGACCGCUAUUGGAAUUCGAUUAAGCCAUGCGAGUCGAGAGUCUUAGGGACUCGGC
rnacentral:rRNA from 1 species